rnacentral:lncRNA from 1 species
AGGCAAGCGCGUACGCAGAAGCGUGCGCGCGCCCGUUCAACGUCCGGAGCAUCGGUGCAGUUUCGAGGGUAAAGCCUUUGGCGCGGUGAUGUGGACUUUUGUUCUCUAACUACAACUCCCAGCAUACGUCACCCCUCACGUGGGCGCUAGGUGUGGUUUCGUGGGAUAGGGUCACCAGUGAAAAGUUGUGCAGAGCCCAACAUGAGCUUCAUUUCCAAGCUGCCACCUAUCUCUGCCUCCUGCGUAGCAUCCGGAAACAUGUGGCCCUACAUCAGGAAUUUCAUGGCAAGGGUGAGCGCUCGGUGGAGGAGUCUGCUGGCUUGGUGGGUCUCAAGUUGCCCCAUCAGCCUGGAGGGAAGGGCUGGGAGCCAUGAACAUGGAGAAUAUCCUUGGAUGCUGCAUUCAUAGGAGAAUUGAAUAAUUUCUAUCAAUAUGUAUUUAUCAUUAAAUUUUUUUUAAG